AGUACUCCUAGCGGAGAGUGAAAUAGAAUCUGAAACCGUUCGCUUACAAGCGGUCGGAGCUUCGAUUUAUCGGGGUGACGGCGUGCCUUUUGCAUAAUGAGCCAGCGAGUUGCUCGUAUGUUGCAAGGUUAAGAUCCAAAGAUCGAAGCCAUAGGGAAACCGAGUCUGAAUAGGGCGUUAAGUAGCAUGCGGCAGACCCGAAACCGAGUGAUCUAGCCAUGGCCAGGUUGAAGUUCCGGUAACACGGAAUGGAGGACCGAACCCACCAGCGUUGAAAAGCUGGGGGAUGAGCUGUGGCUAGGGGUGAAAGGCCAAUCAAACUCGGAGAUAUCUGGUUCUCGUCGAAAUGCCUUUAGGGGCAGCGUUGUAUUAGUGUAUCGGGGGUAGAGCACUGAAUGGGCUAGGGGGCCUACAAGCUUACCAACCCCAAUUAAACUCCGAAUACCGAAUACAUGAUGUACAGCAGUGAGGCUGCGGGUGAUAAGAUUCGUAGCCGAGAGGGAAACAACCCAGACCAUCAGCUAAGGUCCCUAAAUUGAUACUAAGUGAUAAAGGAUGUGAAAUCCCCCAGACAGCUAGGAGGUUGGCUUAGAAGCAGCCAUCCUUUAAAGAAAGCGUAAUAGCUCACUAGUUAAGGGGUUCUGCGCCGAUAAUUUCCGGGACUAAGUAUCAUACCGAAGCUAUGGGAUUCAUUCGAUUCGAAUGGAUCGGUAGACGAGCGUUCUAUUAACCUGCGAAGGUUGACCCGUGAGGGCAGCUGGAGGAGAUAGAAAUGAGUAUGCUGGAAUGAGUAGCGAUAAAGCCUGUGAAAUACAGGCUCGCCGUAAGCCCAAGGUUUCCUGAGUAAAGUUAAUCUGCUCAGGGUUAGUCGGACCCUAAGCCGAGGCCGAAAGGCGUAGGCGAUGGAAAACGGGUUUAAUAUUCCCGUACCAGUCCGUAAUCGUUAUAACUAUGGGGGGACGCAGAAGUGAAAGGUCAGCCCGGUUUUGAUUGUCCGGGUUUAAGUGUGUAGGGGGGUCCGAUUGGUAAAUCCGUCGGAUUAUUAACUCUGAGACACGAAUAGGAGGGCCUAGCCCGUAAACUGACCAUAAUCCUGCUGCCAAGAAAAGCCUCUAUGUGAGAUUACGAACUGACCGUACCCUAAACGGACACACGUGGACGAGGAGAGUAUCCUAAGGCGCUUGAGAGAAUCCAGGUUAAGGAACUCGGCAAAUUAACCCCGUAACUUCGGGAGAAGGGGUGCCUUGAUUAGGUGAACACCUUCGCGGUGGAAGCCGAAAGAGGCCGCAGUGACCAGGCCCAAACGACUGUUUACUAAAAACACAGGUCUCUGCUAAGUCGUAAGACGAAAUAUAGGGACUGACACCUGCCCGGUGCCGGAAGGUUAAAUGGAAGGGUUAGCUUCGGCAAAGCUCUGAAAUGAAGCCCCGGUAAACGGCGGCCGUAACUAUAACGGUCCUAAGGUAGCGAAAUUCCUUGUCGGGUAAGUUCCGACCUGCACGAAUGGUGCAACGAUUUGGGCACUGUCUCAACCUGGAGCUCAGCGAAAUUGAAGUGUCGGUGAAGAUACCGGCUACCCGCGGCAGGACGAAAAGACCCCGUGAACCUUUACUACAACCUAGCAUUGGAUUUUGGUUAUGCAUGUGCAGGAUAGGUGGGAGGCUUUGAAGCUCGGACGCCAGUUCGAGUGGAGCCAACCUUGAAAUACCA
rnacentral:rRNA from 1 species